UGGGUAGACAGAGUAAUUUCUAGAGCAGU
rnacentral:piRNA from 1 species